rnacentral:rRNA from 1 species
AGCAGCCGCGGUAAUUCCAGCUCCAAUAGCGUAUAUUAAAGUUGUUGCAGUUAAAAAGCUCGUAGUUGAAUUUCGGGGUUCUACCGUUGGUCAGGCUAUUGUCUGUACUGGCGUGUAGAAUUUCUACCUUCUGGGGAACUAUCAUGUUAUUAAUUUAGCGUGGUAGGAAACCAGGACCUUUACCUUGAAAAAAUUAGAGUGUUCAAAGCAGGCUUAUGUCUGAAUACAUUAGCAUGGAAUAAUAAAAUAGGACGGUGGUCCUGUUUUGUUGGUUUCUGAAUCACCGUAAUGAUUAAUAGGGAUAGUUGGGGGCAUUAGUAUUCAAUUGUCAGAGGUGAAAUUCUUGGAUUUAUUGAAGACUAACUACUGCGAAAGCAUUUGCCAAGGAUGUUUUCAUUAAUCAAGAACGAAAGUUAGGGGAUCGAAGACGAUCAGAUACCGUCGUAGUCUUAACCAUAAACUAUGCCGACUAGGGAUCGGACGAUGUAACUUUCUUGACUCGUUCGGCGCCUUACGGGAA